UCUAAACAGACUUGCCUUGUUAAAUAUAUAAUACCUCUAAAUGUCCAUAACAUAUAAGUAGUAAUGCAAUAAUCCCUAGUGGACAGUAUUGAAGACAUCUCCCUACUAGUGGACAGUAUUGAAGACAUCUCCCUACUAGAUGGUAAUAGGUGCUCACGUUGUCCCUAGUGGACAGUAUUGAAGACAUCUCCCUACUAGAUGGUAAUAGGUCACGUUGUCCCUAGUGGACAGUAUUGAAGACAUCUCCCUACUAGAUGGUAAUAGGUGCUCACGUUGUCCCUAGUGGACAGUAUUGAAGACAUCUCCCUACUAGAUGGUAAUAGGUCACGUUGCCCCUAGUGGACAGUAUUGAAUUGCAGGCACAAGACAUCUCCCGAAUAAAAACAUUUAACACAGCAGUGGAUUUGGUGUGACCCCUUGUGGACGGAGAGGCCCAAUCAUACUCUAUCAAUGCAGUGCAAUUGUCCAAACAAAGGAUGAGCUCUCUUAAGAGUUGAACAGUCAUUACAGGCUUGUCGUCCACUUGUGGUCGUCCUAACAUUUGCCACAUGGUGGCUUACAUUUACGGUCGGAGGGGGAGGUUUAUGCGGUUGGCAACCAGAACGUGUAAGUUUCCAUGGGAGACUGCAUGUCUGGGUGGUAAACAGCUGAUACGUGACACUGGACAGAGUGCUCCACGCAGGAAAGGCCUUCAGUCACAGCCGGUAACAAGGUUUAUUAAUCACCUGGCAUCCUGCCCGUCACUGCGGCAGACAUUUUGAAAACUCCU
ensembl:lncRNA